rnacentral:rRNA from 1 species
UACGUAGGGGGCAAGCGUUGUCCGGAAUCAUUGGGCGUAAAGCGCGUGUAGGCGGCCAGAAAAGUCCGCUGUGAAAACUCGAGGCUCAACUUCGAGCUGUCGGUGGAAACUUUCUGGCUAGAGUCCGGAAGAGGAGAAUGGAAUUCCUGGUGUAGCGGUGAAAUGCGCAGAUAUCAGGAAGAACACCCGUGGCGAAGGCGGGUCUCUGGGCCGUAACUGACGCUGAGGAGCGAAAGCGUGGGGAGCGAACAGG